rnacentral:lncRNA from 1 species
UUGGGCAAGAGAGAAAAAAUGUCAGUUUAGUCCUCAGUACAUUCUUUGGGUUUGAACAGAUGUCUAAUGCCAUAUCCACCACUGUCAUAUCAUACAGAGUAGUUUCACAGUCUGGCAAAUCCCCUGUGCUCUGCCUGUUCAUCCCUCUCUCCCCCAACCCCUGCCAACCACUGCUCUUUUUACUGUCUCCAUGGUUUUGCCUUUUCCAGAAUGUGACAGAGUUGGAAUCUUACAGUAUGCAGCCUUUUCAGAUCAGUUUCUUUCAGUUAGUAAUAUGCAUUUAAGGUUCUUUCAUGCAGCUCAAUAAUGUUUGGCAGAGACUCAAAGGCAGGGAGAGGAAUGGGAAAUCUGCGGUGGAAAAGGGGAAGAGGAGUCCUGAUGGGGUUGCCAGCCACCAGAGGCGGCUGCUAGUGAAGUGGCCUCAUUGUCUGGGGUGACACCCAAUGUUCAUUGUCUCACAGCCACAGAGAUCAAGGGCAUGGACACACAAAGGGUGAGGUUAAGAGUGGAAAUUUAAUACGUGAAAGAAAGAGAAUAGCUCUCUGCUACAGAGAGGGGUCCCGGAAAAAUAGGUCGCUGAUGCACAGUGCAAUGCAAAGAUUUUUAUAGAUGAGCUAGUGGGGAGCAGUGUCUGAUCUACAUCGGGUGUGAAAAAACAGGACCAGGUGUGCCAUCUGCAUAGGGCACGAAUCUCUGGACGCCCCCACACCAAUCUUCUAUUUAUUACGCAGACUCCACCUCCAAGACAAGACUCGGAAAAAGGUGUGAAGCUCAAGUCGGAUGACCACGACCCACGCGUGGCCACGGACGGGCCCAUGUUAUUCUUCGCAGUCCUCCUGUAAUGGCCGGGCGGGUCCUCGCCUCCAGGGCGGGGCUUGGAGAUAAUGGGUGUAAUGGAAGGCCUGAGGACCCGGCCCCACGCCAGUCGGAGUCCGGGCGGAGUAACCCAUCCCCCGUUCACACUCUCGGAAGGCCCGUCGAUUCCUGCGUGUACUAGUCGACCCGCUCAGGCCACAGCACUCCGAGCUCAAUAGUGCGCCUCCAACGCUGACCCGCAGGUUUAAUCUCCGACGAAAGGACGAAGAGUACACCCGGCAAAGCCGGGCUCAUCCUGCCAGUGCUGCCAGUCCCCUUGAACUCUGCACGGCGCCCUGUGGCCAAAUCCCCUUUCUUGCCGGCUUCGCCAGAGCGCCGGAGAGAAAACCUUAACAGUGCAGCCAGGUGGCGCCCAACAGCCGGCGCAAGCAGCCGCGGAUCGGAUCGGCAUAGCCAGCGGGCGAGGCCUCUCCUAGUCCCUGACCACCUGGGAUCGCGUUUCUUGGCCUGGGCCGGGUGGAGGAGCUCCCAGUUGGCACGGCCUGGAAUGACGCGACCCCGCAGCCGAAGGGGACUUGAAAAUUUUUCCUAACCACCGUUCCGCUCCGAGUUACUGCUACCUGCUAGGACAGACCUCCCACGCGGCUCCGGGCCUGGCGAUCUUCCGCGGGAACCGGGAACGUUUCCGGAGAUCCCCGCAGGCCGGCGCCCUGCCUCGGCUUCCCAGUGCAGCGGGGUCGCGGGCUCCCCGAGGAUUCCAAAGUUUUGCGGGGCGCCUGCGGCGGGAGGGACCCUGAAGUUGAAACUGUGAAAGGCAGAACGUGGGUGAAUCGCUUUUAUUCUGUCUUUUCGGAGUGGGAAAGCCUUUCUAAAGCAUAAAAUAAACCCAGAAGCCAUCAAGGAAAUGAUUGAUCAGCUUGACAACAUAAAGUUUCACAAGCAACGUCAAAAGAUAACAAAUGAGUGUGGGGAUCGCUUAUGCAUAAGAUAAGAAUAUUGAUUUCAUUCACAAUAGCCAAGAUACGGAAGCAAGCUAAGCAUCUACCAGUGGGUGAACGGAAAAAGAAAAUGUGAUGUAUGUACAUCAGGGGGUACUAUCCCGCCUUUGAAUAAAAGGAAAUCCUGCUAUUGGCGACAACGUGGAUGAACGUGGAGGCCAUUGUACUAAGCAAAGUAAGCCAGGCACAGAAACAAAUACCACUUGGUCUCUCCUGUAUGUGGAAUCUGAAAAUAGUUGAACUCAUAGAAACGGAGAGUAGAACUGUGGCUACCUGAGGCCGGGGGAAGGGCAGGAGGGAGGAGAUGUUGUUCAAAGGGUACAAGGAUUCAGUUAGACAAGAGGAAUAUGUUUUAGGGAUCCACA